CGGGUAAGGCUUCUCCAGCCUUCCAGUACAAGCCAGCUAAGGAGAAACUAAAUGCACAGCUUGUGGAUGACAUUGUGCAUACCGUGGUGUCGAAAUGUGGCGUUGCGGCAAAUCUUGUGCGCACUAGCAUCACAACAAAAUGUGCAGAUGAGAGCAAAAUGCAUCGCUCUCGUCUAAAGAAGCAGACUAACAGUCGAAAAAAUCUCGAGAAUAGGGCACCGCGAUCUACGUCAGAAUCUAAUUAAACUGGAGUCCACAACUGAAGAACGUCGUCGCGCCGCGGAAAUGUG